GCACAAGCGGUGGAGCAUGUGGUUUAAUUCGAAGCAACGCGAAGGACCUUACCAAAUCUUGACAUCCUCUGACCCCUCUAGAGAUAGAGUUUUCCCCUUCGGGGGACAGAGUGACAGGUGGUGCAUGGUUGUCGUCAGCUCGUGUCGUGAGAUGUUGGGUUAAGUCCCGCAACGAGCGCAACCCUUAAGCUUAGUUGCCAUCAUUAAGUUGGGCACUCUAAGUUGACUGCCGGUGACAAACCGGAGGAAGGUGGGGAUGACGUCAAAUCAUCAUGCCCCUUAUGAUUUGGGCUACACACGUGCUACAAUGGACAAUACAAAGGGUAGCGAAACCGCGAGGUCAAGCAAAUCCCAUAAAGUUGUUCUCAGUUCGGAUUGUAGUCUGCAACUCGACUAUAUGAAGCUGGAAUCGCUAGUAAUCGUAGAUCAGCAUGCUACGGUGAAUACGUUCCCGGGC
rnacentral:rRNA from 1 species